rnacentral:lncRNA from 1 species
CUACUUACAUUCAACAUGUCACUUGCUCCACUCUUCCGCUUUUCUAUCUAGCUUCACUUAGCAUUUUAUUCUGACCGCAUAAUCUAUAGUGUGACUGUUCAACCACGAUUGUCUCCUACACAACCCUGCCACAUUCCAUGCUUCUACAAAAUUGAAUCAAAAGAAACUUCCUUUGUUUAAGGAUUUGUUUCCAGAAUGACCAACAAACUUCCAACUAUGAGCAUUACAUUUUCAUCCAUUG